rnacentral:rRNA from 1 species
AUUGAACGCUGGCGGCAGGCCUAACACAUGCAAGUCGAGCGGAUGAAGGGAGCUUGCUCCUGGAUUCAGCGGCGGACGGGUGAGUAAUGCCUAGGAAUCUGCCUGGUAGCGGGGGAUAACGUCCGGAAACGGGCGCUAAUACCGCAUACGUCCUGAGGGAGAAAGUGGGGGAUCUUCGGACCUCACGCUAUCAGAUGAGCCUAGGUCGGAUUAGCUAGUUGGUGGGGUAAAGGCCUACCAAGGCGACGAUCCGUAACUGGUCUGAGAGGAUGAUCAGUCACACUGGAACUGAGACACGGUCCAGACUCCUACGGGAGGCAGCAGUGGGGAAUAUUGGACAAUGGGCGAAAGCCUGAUCCAGCCAUGCCGCGUGUGUGAAGAAGGUCUUCGGAUUGUAAAGCACUUUAAGUUGGGAGGGAGGGCAGUAAGUUAAUACCUUGCUGUUUUGACGUUACCAACAGAAUAAGCACCGGCUAACUUCGUG